GUGUGGUCUCGAGGCGGUACAGCUGAUUUGAUUGCAGGUGAUUCUUCCCUCUCACCUGGCCUCCUCAUAUUAUUUCUGUAGGUCGCAUGUGUGUUUCGAAUCCAUAAAUACUGCAGUUUCUGUAGGUCGUAUGUAUGUUCAUACGAGCUGCCGUUCUUCCAUAUGUUCUGCAGAUGUAGUAUGUGUUUUAGGUCCAUGUAUAGUACUGUAGGAUCAUAUGUGCUGCAGAUGUAGCCUCUGUUUUUAGGUCCAUGUGUAGUACUUUUAGUCCAUAUGAACGAUGGCCAUACGAGUAGCCACAAGGUCAUCCACGAGGUUAUCAAAUGCUGCCUCGAGCGCCUUGAGAUAUUCAACCAGCAUUUCAAUAGCCUCAUCCCUUUCUCCUCUAGGGCAAGCGAAUGCAUAGUGACAUGUGUAUGGCAUGUGGCAGGGGAGGUAGCGGUAGCGACGAGUCUUCAUUGAAGAAAGAACAUCCCGAAGACGAGCUAUCGCCUCACGGGCAGCCAUGUGCAUAGCAUGCCUCUCCGUAGGCAUGGCUCUUCCCACAAACCGGAAGCGGCGUAACUUAACACGCCCUCCCUUGAAUUGCACCGCGGCCUGGUGCAUGGACAGACUGUCGUUGAUCUUGUGCUGGUAGAGUGUGAACUCCGGACGAGUUGAUGGCCCGAUCGCGAUUUUGACGAUGGAGGUGAGAAGCUUGACGAACCCCUCAGGCACGUUGGCGAACACCUGUGACUCACAGUCAUUGCCAGCCAUCUACAAAAGUAGGCAAAAAUUCUGAAUAGUCAGAUCAUAAAUUUACACUGACUGUCAGAAAAUGACUACAUUUGCAAAAUAUUAAAAUAGCACUUAUUACGCUAAUAACCGAUUAGCGAUCGCACCUAGUGGCUUCCUACAGUCAGCCUGGCUCUGGUACCAAGUUUGUCACGAUAGUUUUUUCAAUAAAAAGCUUAUUGAGAAACCGACUUUUAUAUAGACCAGUAUAGGAAAAUCCUCCUUACUGGUAAACAAAUCCUUGAUACUGAAAUCCAGUAGUACUAAAUAUUAUACAGGGUUGAGCUGAGGUAGCUCAACAAUUUAUUACAAGCACGCAAAUAUUAUACAUAAGGGCGGAUAUGACACAAGGGUGUGCUGGCAUACUACUGACUCGUAAUAAAAGUGGUGGUGGAUAUGUCACAGUGAAGCGGAUGACAUGACUCCUAAUCCUGCAACUCAUCGAGCGUCGAGGUGAGGCUCGAUGAUUUUAUUUGGGUAGCGGAAGCGUAUGUGAUACAAGUGACCAAAUCCAGGAUCACAUGGGACUGACUAGGACUCCUCUAGGCGUCGGACUCGCUAUCGUACUCUUCAUCCAUGAGAUCGCCUUCGUCAACAUCUGGCCAAAUCAACAAGCCAGGUGAGUACUUUGAAUGUACUCGCAAGACAAUGCGGACAUAAGAUAUAACAAAUGUAACAUGAUGCACAGGAGCGGUUAGCAAUGCACACUCAAAUAUAAAAUUUGCACGACAUGUUAAAUAAAUAGGAAGCCAGGCGGUAGUUCUCCCGAAAUCCCAACAAAAUAACUAAGAACCAAUCGGGUGUCUGAAGCGACGCCUCGAAAGGUAAAAAUAAAUUAACAUGCCGCAGUCGGGCGUCUGAGCGACACCACAUAAAGGGCUUAUAUUGAAAUGUAAAUGACAGUGCGUGCCACAGUUGGACGUCUACGUGACAUCUCGGAAAGGGCUUAUAAUGAAAAUAAAUAACAGUGAUACCACAGUCAGACGUCUACGCGACAUCUCGGAAAGGGCUUAUAAUGAAAAUAAAUAACAGUGAUGCCACAGUCAGACCUCUACACGACAUCUCGGAAAGGGCUUAUAAUGAAAAUAAAUAACAGUGAUGCCACAGUCAGACGUCUGAGCGACAUCACAGAAAGGGCUUAUAUUUCAUCAUUCAUAUUCAAUAGAUUCAUGAAGAUAAUUCAUUCAAAGGAAAUACUCAGUACAUAAUAAUAAAAGGGUUAGUCCAUCCACAGGAGAAUUAUUUAGCCGGACUUAACACUCAUGUUUGUUCACCAGAGAUUUGUCACUUGAGGCUGACACUGAGACUGACAAAGAUAAGUUGAACACAGUCCUUGACCAUAGACAAGGUUACUCGAAUGAUUUUGACUCUGCAAAGUUUGCACUAUUUAACCACAGCCAACAGAUUUCAGUAGUCAUGAAGGACUAGUUCCGUUUAUGGUAUUUCGGUAGAAACACAUCUAACCAUUACACACCCAUUCCACCUCAUGAUGCCAGGAAUCACCCUAGGCAACAUUCAAGAAAAACUUUGAGACAGGGAGGCCACAACCUCGAAUAGCAUGGGAUCAAAUUUAUAUUCGCGCGCUCUAAGGGGUGCCCCCCUCUCGGUCCCAACCGGAAACACCCAUGCCCCCUGACCGGAUGACUGGCUUUUAAUCCAGGGCCAUGGAACCCUCAUCACGGCCUCUCUAUUUGGUGUGUACGAGCCAAGAGGUUUGCAACUUACUAAACCAUAUUCUUUGCAGAAAACAUGUGGUAGCACAAAAAGAAAUGGAUGGUAACAUGACUUAUUCCACGUUGACACUGGAGUUAAAUGGUUUGGCAUAAGACUGGCAUGCUUCAACACUGCCAUCUUACCACCUCUCAUGUCACCACCUGAUCACGUAAACUCACAUCAAAUAACAUAUGGAGUUUUGAGGCUAACUUGCAUUAGCUUUGCAUGCAAUAUAUGUGACACUCCAAAAUUUUUAUUUGGUUUUUAUCAAAAACUUUGUGGUUUUGAGGAGAGACUUUUUUUUAUUUUUCUUUUUCAGAAAAACCUUCCUCUUAAAAACCUCCUUUUGCCUUGGCAGGGAUUUUAUUUCUUUCAAACUUUGGUGGUUGAUCUUUUGCAAACUUCUUCUCUGUUAGUUCCCUCUAAAAAUUUAAAUUUUUUUUGGGAGCUUUUAAUUUGUUUUAUUUAUUUUUUAAGUGAAGCUCUAUGAAAAUUUGGGUUUUUCUUAUCUUUGAAGCCACCCUUGGCUUUGUAUUUUUGCCCAUGAGAUAAAACCCCUCCAAAACCUCCCCUCCCCCUUGUGAUCAACCUAAAUUCUCUGUCCCAACUAAUCCAAACUGGUUUUGUAUUCUAUUCUAAUUAUUUUCCCCCCCAAUUCAAUUCUGAAAAUUAUUUGGAGCCUGAGGGAUUUUCAAAGCAAGUACACUUUUUCAUUUGAGUUUUGAACUCAAACCAAUUCUCCUGGAUUGUCCUUUGAACCCACAACCCAGAACCAUCUUGAUCCACUCCUCCUCUUUUCAAAAUUUUCAAAAUACAGUCUCUGCAAGUUUGGACCAGAUUUGCCAAAUUUGGUGAAAUUCAUAUCUACACUCCUCCAAAAAUUCCACCAAAAUUCAGACAGCCUAUUUGAGCAAUGAGAAGCCACUCCACCAAAAAUCAGCUCAAGGAAAAAUCCCUACAUGCCUGGAUCAUUCUGUCGAACACCUUGCAUGCACUGUUUUCCUUGCACUUUCAGAAAUUCAGUUUUCAGUUUCGACAGUUUCAGUCACGCGGCCACAGUGCACUUGGCACGUUUCUCGCGGCCUCGCUUGCUUGUCCGAAGCUUCACACGCGCACUUGGCGCGACCCUGGCAUCGGUGGCGCCCUGGCCCGCCUGCGCCGGCGUGUCUUGCGGCGGCCGGCUCCCCGUAACGGCCGACAGGGAGGAGAACGGCGGCGCAACGCCGUUCGGCACCGCCCAAAUCCUCUGGUGGCUCCGCGUGUGUCACGACCGGUUUUCCGGGUAAUAAAUUUCCAGAAAAGACCGUCGUGCUCAUCAGCCCCAGGAUUACUGUUAGCUGAUGAGGCUCCAACUUGAUACAGAAAUUCCAAGCAAAAUACAAAAUAUGUAGUACAAGACCAUUCUGGCCAGUGAGUACAACAAAUGGUUUCUAGUGGUUAAUGGCGGAAGCGGGUUGUGAAACAUCAGGGUCUAUGGGACUCCAUUUCCCACGGGAACAGCUGACCAGGUUAAUUCCUAUCUUCGCGAGGCUGCUAUCUCCAUUGAGUGCGUUCCGGGGCUGGCAUCGCGUCGCUCCUCUCCGUGCAAGAAAAUCUGGCCAAGACAAUAGCCAGGGACAAGCCAGUGAGUACUUUGAAUGUACUCGCAAACAUUAUGAACACAGGUAUAAUAUAACCAUGAUGUGCUAAAAAUAUUAUAAGCUCAUGACGUCAGUCACAAUGAAACUCAGAUGCGUGCAAGCAAGUUAUUUAUAAAAAUGCAAUAACAUGGUAGUAUAAAAAUUUAUGAAACAAAUAGCAAGCAAUGCCACAGUCGGGCGUCUUAGCGACUCCACAUAAAGGGCUUUAAAAGAAAUGCCACAGUCGGGCGUCUGAGCGACACCACAUAAAGGGCUUUAAAAGAAAUGUCACAGUCGGGCGUCUGAGCGACACCACAUAAAGGGCUUUAAAAGAAAUGCCACAGUCGGGCGUCUGAGCGACACCACAUAAAGGGCUUUAAAAGAAAUGCCACAGUCGGGCGUCUUAGCGACACCACAUAAAGGGCUUUAAAAGGAAUAAUCAUAAUGAAUAUCCCAGAGGUAGAACCAUCCCAGAGAUACUCAGUAAUAACAAUAAUAUCACGGGUUAGUCAACAAUAAUAAUAAUCAUAGAUAUCACAAGUCACGAGUAGUAAUUCCAUUUCUGGUUAACCGUUUCACCUCCGAAGACCGACACUAAGACCGAUACCUGACCCAUCCCAGACUGUAAUCCUUAACCAUGGACACGGCUAUUCGAAUAGGUUUAAAUAUCUCUGCAGAGAGUGUACUCUUUACCCACGAGUAACGGAUUCCUUUAGUCCAUCGGACUAAUUCCGUCUACGGUCUUUUAAUUGAAACACACCUGACUUGCACACACCAGCUUUCACUCGUGUCUGGAAUCACCCAUGACACCUGUUAAGCAAAGCUCUAAGUGGGGAGGCUACAACCUCGCGUAGCAUGAGAUCAAAUUUCUAUCGCGCGCUCUAAGGGGUGCCCCCCUCUCGGUCCCAACCGGAUACACCCAUGCCCCCGGACCAGGUGGCAUGCCUACCGGCUACAACCGGUAUCUUCCACCAUGGCCUCUCUGUACGGUGUGUGCCAAGACAAGGGUUAACAACUUACUGAACCAUACCCCACCUACGGUAGGGACCAGUGGCAGUACGAAAACAAGUAUGGGGGUUACCGGAACAAGACUCGAUCUAUGGCCGACUCAGGAGGCUUAUGAGUUCCCUGCAUGACAUGUAUAACAAAUAUAUUUCAACCGAAGAAAUCACCACUCAAUGUACCUUACCAUGCCAUACCGGACAUAACCGUCCCGACGGGGACCGGCGACAAGCUCACGCCUACCCAAGGCCAAGGCUUUCCCGGAUUCCUUUCCGGCAUGCAUGCAAGGCACAUGAGGAGGAUUACCAUCACAAUAAUAUUCAUUUCCAACAGCAAGUAAAUCACUGAUAUGCUCCCAUGCAAAUGAUCAUGUCACAUGAAAUAACAAGUCCUCCGAAGCAAGGUGGUGUUAUAAACGUGUCAAAUAACACACCAAAAACAUUAUGCCAGGGUUCAGAAUGCUUGCCUUCAUGGUGUGGAGAGGUGGGGGUGCUCUCCAAAAUUUUUGAAAGCUUCUUUCUCUCCCAAAAAUCCUAUUUUCAAUAAUAUGCAAAUAACACCUAUUUCAAAAACAGUACAAAAAAGUUGUUUGGAAAAUAUUCAAAUAAAUCUUAAAAUAAACUAGACAAUAUUUGAGAGAUGUAGGAAAAAGAAUUAAUUCAUUUGGAGUUAUAUUUAAAAAGUUAUAGCCAGUCAAAGUUCUGGUCAAAUCUGUUAUUUAAAUUAAAACAGAAAAGAAAACGUUUCGGAGGGGAAUACGCUUUCAGAGCGGGGAAAACGUACUAGGUGGAUUACGUCUUCACUUAAUCCCACGUGGACAGGCACGGGGUCGCUGACAGUGGGUCCAGGGGGCCCACUAGUCAGGUUUGACUAGUCUCUUUCCCUCUCCUUCCUCUGUCCCGAGCGGAGGCGGAGCUCCGGCGAUUGUUGCCGGCGACUGGCGGCUGCUCGCGGGGCCCUGAGGGCGGGGAUGGAUCCGCCACUCCAGUGCGGUCCUCCCGGUGGUCGCAGGGUAGCUGGAGGUGGAGGGAGCUGCCGGCGGCGAGCUCCGCGGCGGAGGAAAGCUUCGGUGGCGAAGUGACAUUGUGGCGGCGAUGGUUCACGAUCAAAAUCAAGUAGUGGGAAAGGUUCAUGGGAGGAUGAGGAAGUUCCUGGCAAAGAGAAGGGAGAGGGGGAGGUACUGGAGGUUCCGGAUUGGCCGGGGCGGUGGCGGCGGCCGGAGUUGCCGGAGAUGAGGAAGGAGGCCUCCCCGGGUCGAAUGCGAGGCAGGGGAGCGCCAUGGGGGUAGCAUAAGGUCGCCUGCGUGCUUGGGNNNNNNNNNNNNNNNNNNNNNNNNNNNNNNNNNNNNNNNNNNNNNNNNNNNNNNNNNNNNNNNNNNNNNNNNNNNNNNNNNNNNNNNNNNNNNNNNNNNNNNNNNNNNNNNNNNNNNNNNNNNNNNNNNNNNNNNNNNNNNNNNNNNNNNNNNNNNNNNNNNNNNNNNNNNNNNNNNNNNNNNNNNNNNNNNNNNNNNNNNNNNNNNNNNNNNNNNNNNNNNNNNNNCAUUUGUAGCGCGCCAAGGUCGGUUCCGCGGCGGUGGGGAUAAGCUCUCCGGCGAACCGUCUCUCUGUAGCUAGGGCGACGUGGCGGCGACGAACGCUAGCGGACACCCGUGUGGAUGAGCUCGGGCUAUGCCGGGGCCAGGUGGCGAGCCGGGGUGGCUUGGGCGGCGCUGAAUGGAGCAGGGGCUGUCGGCAGCGGCGGUGGCUAGCUCUUGGCCUGCCGGGCGUGGCGGGGGCUGCUUGGCGCGUUGCAGUGAGAAGGGUAGCGCGUGGCGAGGUGCUGCAGAGCGAGCCAAAACCGUGGGGGCCAGCGUGUCGGCUCGUGUGCGCGGCUGCAAUAUGCGCGCUCUGGGCGUGCCCAGAGCACGCCGACCAUCUGUUCGGCGAAAUGCCCUGGCCUGCUAGAUGGCUUGGUUGGAGCUGAGGAUUAGCAGUUCUAGGCUAUGGCUUGCAAGGGGAUCAGUAGACAAGCUGGUUUGGUCAGGAGAUCAGGUUCACAGUGCAAACCAAAAAUUCAUGCCAAAACAGAUCAUGCCCAUAUGGUGUUUGACAAAAUGCUAAGGGCACUUAGGCAUUUCUUGGAGUGGCCAAAAUCUCCAAAUCAGUGUCUCUGUGGAUGAAAGAGAGGGUGGUGAUGUUAGUUGGUGAAAUGCACAAACUUGUUAGUGCAAGUCUAGCAGAAUUUCAAUUCUGGACAGGAAAUAAAUGUCAUUAUUUCAUGAACCAAAAUUAAUCCAAUGGGUGCAUGCUCCUAGACUUAAGGGUUCGGCAAGGGGGACUACCAGUAGAAAAAGAAAUCAUGGAUAUAGGAGCAAUUAAAAUGGUGGUUGCUGUACAAAUCAUCAAGUUGGUCCAGAAUGGAAAUGAGGUUGAUUCACUCAAUAUUUUCAAAGAACAACCCUGGAUUUUUGCACAAAAUGGAAUAAUAUGCUCCUACUGACCUCCCCUAAUUUUGGUAGAAGUUUUAAAGAAAUAUAUAAAAGGGUUGUAGUGCAAAAUGCACUCUGGACCAGAGAAGAAAAACUGAGUGUAGGGCUCAAAAUAUUUCAUGAAUGAGAUAUAUUUUUGCAUAAAAGUGAUUUAAAAACAUCACAUGACAUCUCCAAAUUUUUGUGGAAAUUUUAAGUGAAUCUAUCAAAUGGUUGUAGUUCAAAUAUGGCCAUAUAACCUUGAAAAACUAUUUUCAAGAAGGUAAAGAUCAAGCAAUUAACUUAGUUAAUUAGUUAUACUGAUAAAAGGAAAUUUUUUCUUGAGAGGUUAAACAAGUCCAAAAACAUAUUUGAAAAGUUUUCUCUUUGGGAAAAACUCAUCAUAACAGGGAAGGAAAUGAUUUAAAAAUCAAAAUGGAGCUCAGAAAUCCAGAGUUUUAAUUCCUAGCAAAAUUUUAAUUUAAUAAAACAAGGCCAAAUUUUUGGGGUGUCACAAUACUAUCCCCCUUAAGAAAAAUCUCGUCCUCGAGAUUGUCUAAGAGCCGUUGUGAAUAACAAAAGUUCCAUAUGCAUUCGAGCGGUUGUGAGACUGCUGCCGUGGUGCUGUGUGAAAUUAAUUAAUCCGCGUCGUGAAGUGGCAGGUGUAGCAAUUCAGGAAAAGAAGUCUCACUCUAGGAUUCUGCGAGGGAAAAACAGUUAAUUUUUAGGAGCAUAAUCCACAACAAAAACUACACACAUUAGUAGAAGCCAAAUAAUUGACUCGUCGUACAAACUCAGGGUAUCACGCAUAAGUCACACACAUAAAUAAAUGUUGCAAGGAACAAAUACAAUAGCGACGUCAAAAAUGAAAAUGGUAACUGGGUGGGGUCCUGAUAAAAUGUCUCUGGUAAAGGGAUACACUCCUCUUCUAUCGGAGGAAGUGGAUUGACCAGUCGAUGUAUGCGUCUCUCCGGGUCGGGUCUCAGUGGUCUGCCGAUGGCAAUCUGAGGAUUUAAAUCUGCGAGGCUCUGGAGAUAAUCCAUCACUCGCUGGUUCAAAUGCUCUUGAGCAAUGAUGUACUGGAUAAGGUUGGCCAGAACUGGGUCUCUCUCAAUACGUCCACCGGGAAAAGAUGUUACUUCUCCGGGUGCUGCACGACUCGGAAAGUAAUAAUAUCCUCGUUCGCGGGCAUAGGGUACUGCGGAUCGAAGACGAGCAAUUGCUUCUUUCGCAGCAGCUUCUAUGGCCGGGUGUGGGGUUGGCAUAGAUUUCCCCACGAAGGAAACUUCUAUUGGAUCUUGGUUGGGGUCUACAGGAGGAAUGUGUACUGCUGCCCAAUAUUCCGAGGUGGAUGGGGUGAUCCUCGAUUUGAACAGCUCGUACUGAGGUGGCUGGGUAGAACCCAUAGUACUGCGGGUAAAAUCCCACAAUAUUUUGACAAAGCUACCUGGGGUUGCAUCUGGGGUUCUCAGAUGAAUGCUGGGGCUCGGCAUGACAGGAAAAAGCGUGAGUGUUGUGCACAAAGUGAGGGUUGUUGGGUAAGGUCACAAGGUGGUCUUUAUAUAGCAAUGGAGCCGGGUCGUUUUACCGUGGUGAAAGGUAAUAAAUUUGCCAGCUUAGCUCCAAAGGUCAGGUCAGUGUCGGAGAUACACAUAUCUCAUAAAGAGACGUGUUACUGUGGUUGUCGUCGGGUUGGUUUUGGUAGUCGUGCCUGGAAAAUAUGCAGCUAUGCGCUGACCAAAAAUGCAAGGCUACUAUUAAAGCAGAGGCACAAAGACAGGUUGCGUUAAAAUACGCGGUCGCAUGAUUACAAAGCGAGGAUACAUUGAAACUUGGUGCUACUCAUACGGCUUAGUCUACCUCGUUCAUGUCUAAACGAGCGUGCCUGGUGGAUGUCGAGGCUUCUCCACGUGUCUCACUGCCGGGAUUAGACGGAGAUGGCGGGGGAACUGCAGGGUUGGGGUAGUGAUGAUGACCAUCGCGGGGAUUGUUGGCCACAACUCCGUUGGAGUGCGCUCCCAAAAUGCGAUGAAGCACCUCUGGGGUUAUCGCAGCACCUUGGCCGAUGGCUGGGGCAGAUCUUGGGGUCUCGAUCGGUUGUCCAAACAGCACGACUGGGUUGUCGGCGUUGGGCUCGUUUUCUCCUCUCGCCGGGGCUCGACGAACGAGCUCUCCACGAGCUGCGAUUAGAUCAAUGGUGAUUUGGUCGAACAGUACCUCUAGUGCACUUACAUAGCGCACUAGGUGCAACAAUGCGGGGUCCGUCUCGUGAUCUCCGUUGGCAACUUGGGGUUGUCUACCAUACCUUUCACGUCUGGGGUAGUAGUGGAACGAGCGACAGUUAACUCUGGGCGACAAGUGCCUGAGAUGAACUAUAGCCUCUCGAGCGGCUAGCUGGAUGGCUUGUGGCUCAAAGGAAGUUGUCCUUCCAGUGAACCUGUAGGGGCGCUCGGGUGCUAGACCCCUACCGUAGAUGUGCACAGUGGCCCAGAAUUGACGGUCUUCACCGCUCAUGGGUCCUUGAUACACAACAUAUUCUGGUGGCUCCUCUAACGCGUAGGCACGACGGGUGAGGUUUGCGAGGAUGGUCACAAAACCUCCAAGGUUGGUUGCUAUGGUUUCGUUGUGCACUAUAGGUCCAGGCAUUGUGGCUCGGUUUGGGGUAGCGGCUGUGCUGUGCUGGGUUGAGGCUAGCGUGCCCUUUUUAUAAGAAAAAGGGGACGGAGUCUUCCUUCGCACGCUUGCGAGAAAGGACUAUUUAGGGGCCAGUCACUGGCGCAUGAGUGACAGGUUAGGUUGAUAGGUUGGGCACCGACUGCCAAAAAGGUGUUGGGUCACUGUGUGGCUAUCUUGCACGAGAAGCUUGGCUGGGGUUUGGCUAAGGUCUAGUGGGUUGGUUUGCCUAAGUUUAUUGACCUGGCUAAGAUAGGAUUAGCCAAUGGUCAGCCUGGCGCUGAUACCAAGUCUGUCACGACCGGUUUUCCGGGUAAUAAAUUUCCAGAAAAGACCGUCGUGCUCAUCAGCCCCAGGAUUACUGUUAGUUGAUGAGGCUCCAACUUGAUACAGAAAUUCCAAGCAAAAUACAAAAUAUGUAGUACAAGACCAUUCUGGCCAGUGAGUACAACAAAUGGUUUCUAGUGGUUAAUGGCGGAAGCGGGUUGUGAAACAUCAGUGUCUAUGGGACUCCAUUUCCCACGGGAACAGCUGACCAGGUUAAUUCCUAUCUUCGCGAGGCUGCUAUCUCCAUUGAGUGCGUUCCGGGGCUGGCAUCGCGUCGCUCCUCUCCGUGCAAGAAAAUCUGGCCAAGACAAUAGCCAGGGACAAGCCAGUGAGUACUUUGAAUGUACUCGCAAACAUUAUGAACACAGGUAUAAUAUAACCAUGAUGUGCUAAAAAUAUUAUAAGCUCAUGACGUCAGUCACAAUGAAACUCAGAUGCGUGCAAGCAAGUUAUUUAUAAAAAUGCAAUAACAUGGUAGUAUAAAAAUUUAUGAAACAAAUAGCAAGCAAUGCCACAGUCGGGCGUCUUAGCGACUCCACAUAAAGGGCUUUAAAAGAAAUGCCACAGUCGGGCGUCUGAGCGACACCACAUAAAGGGCUUUAAAAGAAAUGCCACAGUCGGGCGUCUGAGCGACACCACAUAAAGGGCUUUAAAAGAAAUGCCACAGUCGGGCGUCUGAGCGACACCACAUAAAGGGCUUUAAAAGAAAUAAUCAUAAUGAAUAUCCCGGAGGUAGAACCAUCCCAGAGAUACUCGGUAAUAACAAUAAUAUCACGGGUUAGUCAACAAUAAUAAUAAUCAUAGAUAUCACAAGUCACGAGUAGUAAUUCCAUUUCUGGUUAACUGUUUCACCUCCGAAGACCGACACUAAGACCGAUACCUGACCCAUCCCAGACUGUAAUCCUUAACCAUGGACACGGCUAUUCGAAUAGGUUUAAAUAUCUCUGCAGAGAGUGUACUCUUUACCCACGAGUAACGGAUUCCUUUAGUCCAUCGGACUAAUUCCGUCUACGGUCUUUUAAUUGAAACACACCUGACUUGCACACACCAGCUUUCACUCGUGUCUGGAAUCACCCGUGACACCUGUUAAGCAAAGCUCUAAGUGGGGAGGCUACAACCUCGCGUAGCAUGAGAUCAAAUUUCUAUCGCGCGCUCUAAGGGGUGCCCCCCUCUCGGUCCCAACCGGAUACACCCAUGCCCCCGGACCAGGUGGCAUGCCUACCGGCUACAACUGGUAUCUUCCACCAUGGCCUCUCUGUACGGUGUGUGCCAAGACAAGGGUUAACAACUUACUGAACCAUACCCCACCUACGGUAGGGACCAGUGGCAGUACGAAAACAAGUAUGGGGGUUACCGGAACAAGACUCGAUCUAUGGCCGACUCAGGAGGCUUAUGAGUUCCCUGCAUGACAUGUAUAACAAAUAUAUUUCAACCAAAGAAAUCACCACUCAAUGUACCUUACCAUGCCAUACCGGACAUAACCGUCCCGACGGGGACCGGCGACAAGCUCACGCCUACCCAAGGCCGAGGCUUUCCCGGAUUCCUUUCCGGCAUGCAUGCAAGGCACAUGAGGAGGAUUACCAUCACAAUAAUAUUCAUUUCCAACAGCAAGGAAAUCACUGAUAUGCUCCCAUGCAAAUGAUCAUGUCACAUGAAAUAACAAGUCCUCCGAAGCAAGGUGGUGUUAUAAACGUGUCAAAUAACACACCAAAAACAUUAUGCCAGGGUUCAGAAUGCUUGCCUUCAUGGUGUGGAGAGGUGGGGGUGCUCUCCAAAAAUUUUGAAAGCUUCUUUCUCUCCCAAAAAUCCUAUUUUCAAUAAUAUGCAAAUAACACCUAUUUCAAAAACAGUACAAAAAAGUUGUUUGGAAAAUAUUCAAAUAAAUCUUAAAAUAAACUAGACAAUAUUUGAGAGAUGUAGGAAAAAGAAUUAAUUCAUUUGGAGUUAUAUUUAAAAAGUUAUAGCCAGUCAAAGUUCUGGUCAAAUCUGUUAUUUAAAUUAAAACAGAAAAGAAAACGUUUCGGAGGGGAAUACGCUUUCGGAGCGGGGAAAACGUACUAGGCGGAUUAUGUCUUCACUUAAUCCCACGUGGACCGGCACGGGGUCGCUGACAGUGGGUCCAGGGGGCCCACUAGUCAGGUUUGACUAGUCUCUUUCCCUCUCCUUCCUCUGUCCCGAGCGGAGGCGGAGCUCCGGCGAUUGUUGCCGGCGACUGGCGGCUCCUCGCGGGGCCCUGAGGGCGGGGAUGGAUCCGCCACUCCAGUGCGGUCCUCCCGGUGGUCGCAGGGUAGCUGGAGGUGGAGGGAGCUGCCGGCGGCGAGCUCCGCGGCGGAGGAAAGCUUCGGUGGCGAAGUGACAUUGUGGCGGCGAUGGUUCCCGAUCAAAAUCAAGUAGUGGGAAAGGUUCAUGGGAGGAUGAGGAAGUUCCUGGCGAAGAGAACGUAGAGGGGGAGGUACUGGAGGUGCCGGAUUGGCCGGGGCGGUGGCGGCGGCCGGAGUUGCCGGAGAUGAGGAAGGAGGCCUCCCCGGGUCGAAUGCGAGGCAGGGGAGCGCCAUGGGGGUAGCAUAAGGUCGCCUGCGUGCUUGGGGAAGCUCGGGGGGGGGUCCAUUUGUAGCGCGCCAAGGUCGGUUCCGCGGCGGUGGGGAUAAGCUCUCCGGCGAACCGUCUCUCUGUAGCUAGGGCGACGUGGCGGCGACGAACGCUAGCGGACACCCGUGUGGAUGAGCUCGGGCUGUGCCGGGGCCAGGUGGCGAGCCGGGGUGGCUUGGGCGGCGCUGAAUGGAGCAGGGGCUGUCGGCGGCGGCGGCGGCUAGCUCUUGGCCUGCCGGGCGUGGCGGGGGAUGCUUGGCGCGUUGCGGUGGGAAGGGUAGCGCGUGGCGAGGUGCUGCAGAGCGAGCCAAAACCGUGGGGGCCAGCGUGUCGGCUCGUGUGCGCGGCUGCAAUAUGCGCGCUCUGGGCGUGCCCAGAGCACGCCGACCAUCUGUUCGGCGAAAUGCCCUGGCCUGCUAGAUGGCUUGGUUGGAGCUGAGGAUUAGCAGUUCUAGGCUAUGGCUUGCAAGGGGAUCAGUAGACAAGCUGGUUUGGUCAGGAGAUCAGGUUCACAGUGCAAACCAAAAAUUCAUGCCAAAACAGAUCAUGCCCAUAUGGUCUUUGACAAAAUGCUAAGGGCACUUAGGCAUUUCUUGGAGUGGCCAAAAUCUCCAAAUCAGUGUCUCUGUGGAUGAAAGAGAGGGUGGUGAUGUUAGUUGGUGAAAUGCACAAACUUGUUAGUGCAAGUCUAGCAGAAUUUCAAUUCUGGACAGGAAAUAAAUGGCAUUAUUUCAUGAACCAAAAUUAAUCCAAUGGGUGCAUGCUCCUGGACUUAAGGGUUUGGCAAGGGGGACUACCAGUAGAAAAAGAAAUCAUGGAUAUAGGAGCAAUUAAAAUGGUGGUUGCUGUACAAAUCAUCAAGUUGGUCCAGAAUGGAAAUGAGGUUGAUUCACUCAAUAUUUUCAAAGAACAACCCUGGAUUUUUGCACAAAAUGGAAUAAUAUGCUCCUACUGACCUCCCCUAAUUUUGGUAGAAGUUUUAAAGAAAUAUAUAAAAGGGUUGUAGUGCAAAAUGCACUCUGGACCAGAGAAGAAAAACUGAGUGUAGGGCUCAAAAUAUUUCAUGAAUGAGAUAUAUUUUUGCAUAAAAGUGAUUUAAAAACAUCACAUGACAUCUCCAAAUUUUUGUGGAAAUUUUAAGUGAAUCUAUCAAAUGGUUGUAGUUCAAAUAUGGCCAUAUAACCUUGAAAAACUAUUUUCAAGAAGGUAAAGAUCAAGCAAUUAACUUAGUUAAUUAGUUAUACUGAUAAAAGGAAAGUUUUUCUUGAGAGGUUAAACAAGUCCAAAAACAUAUUUGAAAAGUUUUCUCUUUGGGAAAAACUCAUCAUAACAGGGAAGGAAAUGAUUUAAAAAUCAAAAUGGAGCUCAGAAAUCCAGAGUUUUAAUUCCUAGCAAAAUUUUAAUUUAAUAAAACAAGGCCAAAUUUUUGGGGUGUCACAGCGUGGCCUUCUCCGUGCCAGCGCAUGCAUGCGGCACCGUCGCCGUGGCGCAGCACGCACGGAGCGCGCUCUCUGCCGCCGAUGGGCCCGCGCCACCCCGUUCCGUCGAGCUCGACCCAAACACCCAAACCCCGGCCAGUUUAGCACUAAAACGGACCCAUUGAACCUCCGUGAUGACGCUCGACCCCCUAACCACCCCGCCCGAGCACUGCGCCACCGUAAUCGCUCGCCGGUGAUCCUCGUUCACGGCAACCGCCUCGGACCGCCUAUAUAAAGGGGUCCCGAGCUCACUCUCGUGCAUGCAGCACCCCCACUACUCACCAACACCCCCGCCAGGCCACUAGGGGGACCUCGAGGAGGUCUCCUCCCCCAGCUCCGGCCGCCUCGCCCCGCCUCGGCCUCCAGCCCGAUUCGUUCUGGUGAGGCCAUCUCCAGCGCUCAAACCCCGUUCGUUACCCUCUCUAGCUGCCAGGAGCAUGACCCCCUCUUCAAUUUAACCUUUGCAGCCCUCUCCGACGAGCCCCUCGACCACCCGAGCCGCCGUCCGCCGGAGCAAAGCUCGCCGUCGACGUGGUGCUCGCCGACCGACUCUACCACCAUCAACUGACGCGGAAGGGUGCCCUGAGCACGGAGGUACUCUCCGAUCUCUCUGCCUCGCCGUGGAUCGCCGCCGGCGACCACCGCGGCUCUCGGGCGCCGGCGAACUCUGCCGCCCCGUUUGAACAUUUGAACCUGACGGGUGGGACCCCACCGUCAGCCUCUCUGCUCUCUCUUUCGAAUUGUUUUCUGGAAGCGCCUUCGGGCAGAAUGUGUUUUCUCUUCGGGCUGGCGUAGUCGCUACCGAAGCGUUUUCUGUUUUUAUAAACUAGCCCCUGGAAAUCUUCUGUUUCAUUACAGAUAAGUUCCUGGACAAAAACCCUUAUAACUUUUAAUCAGAAAAGUAUUUUUGAUUGAUUCUUUUUCUGUUCUCUUUAGAAUUUUGUCUAGUUUUUUAUCAGAUUUAUUUGAAAAAUAUUUGGUUUACCUUCUGUGCUCUCCUUGGUAUUUACAUUAGCGCAUAUAUUUUCUUUAAACCGUAGAUACCGAAGGAGGUGACGGAGCCGCGAACUUCACCGAGCUAGGCUCCGACUACUCUGAACCAGGCAAGCAUGUUUGAACUUUUGAUAUGAUGAGUGUCUCGGCAUGUUUUGCAUUUAGUUAGUUUCAUGGCAUGUUGGUAAGCAUACCGAUGAACGAUAUUUUAUGUGAUAAUAAGGUGAGUAAGUUCAAUGAUCCAUACGUGGAUGAAUGUGAAUAUGAAUGGCCAUGUGUUGGCAUGAGGAUGGGUACGAUGGCAGUGUUGUAGCAUGCCAGUCUUACGCCAGACUAUGUGACUUCAGUGACAAACCAUAUCGGUCCAGUACCUAUCAUUUCCUUCCUUGUACUACCACAUGUUUUCCGCAAGGAAUAUGGUUUAGUAAGUUGCAAACCACUUUCAUGGUACACACCAAAGAGGAGAGGCCGUGAUGAUGGUUCCAUGGCCCUGGAUUAAAGCCAGUCAUCCGGUCAGGGGGCAUGGGUGUUUCCGGUUGGGACCGAGAGGGGGGCACCCCUUAGAGCGCGCGUAUAUAAAUUUGAUCCCAUGCUAUUCGAGAUUGUGAUCUCCCCGUCUCAAAAGUUUUUCUUGGACGAUGACUAGGGUGAUUCCUAGCAUCGAGAGGUAGGAUGGGUGUGUACCGGUUAGCUGUGUUUUCUUCCGAAAUACCAUAANNNNNNNNNNNNNNNNNNNNNNNNNNNNNNNNNNNNNNNNNNNNNNNNNNNNNNNNNNNNNNNNNNNNNNNNNNNNNNNNNNNNNNNNNNNNNNNNNNNNNNNNNNNNNNNNNNNNNNNNNNNNNNNNNNNNNNNNNNNNNNNNNNNNNNNNNNNNNNNNNNNNNNNNNNNNNNNNNNNNNNNNNNNNNNNNNNNNNNNNNNNNNNNNNNNNNNNNNNNNNNNNNNNNNNNNNNNNNNNNNNNNNNNNNNNNNNNNNNNNNNNNNNNNNNNNNNNNNNNNNNNNNNNNNNNNNNNNNNNNNNNNNNNNNNNNNNNNNNNNNNNNNNNNNNNNNNNNNNNNNNNNNNNNNNNNNNNNNNNNNNNNNNNNNNNNNNNNNNNNNNNNNNNNNNNNNNNNNNNNNNNNNNNNNNNNNNNNNNNNNNNNNNNNNNNNNNNNNNNNNNNNNNNNNNAAGCCCUUUCUGCGAUGUCGCUCAGACGUCCGACUGUGGCAUUUCUUUUAAAGCCCUUUCUGCGAUGGCGCUCAGACGUCCGACUGUGGCAUUUCAUUUAAAGUCCUUUCUGCGAUGUCGCUCAGACGUCCGACUGUGGCAUUUCUUUUAAAGCCCUUUCUGCGAUGUCGCUCAGACAUCCGACCGUGGCAUUUCUUUUAAAGCCCUUUAUGUGGUGUCGCUAAGAUGCCCGACUGUGGCAUCAUUCACCUUUUGAGGCGUCGCUUCAGGCACCCGAUCGGUCUUUAUUUAUGCUCUGUGGGAUUUCAGGCGGACUACCGCCGUUUCCCUUUUUACUUACCCCGUUAUGCAAAUUUUUAUUUAUUGUGCAUUAAGGAAUUAAUCAUGUUGCAUCCAUGCACGCAGUUGUUAUAUCUUACAUCCGAACUGUCUUGCGAGUACUUUCAAAGUACUCACUGGCUUGUUGAUUUGGCCAGAUGCUGACGAAGGCGAUCUCAUGGAUGAAGAGUUCGAUAGCGAGUCCGACACUUAGAGGAGUCCCAGUCAGUCUCGUGCGACCCUGGAUUUGGUCACUGUUUUAUAUCCGCUUCCGCUACCAAAUAAAUUUAUCGAGCCUCACCUCGAUGUUCGAUGAAAUGAUAUUCUUAGAGUCUUGUAUUUCCCUUCCCGCUGUGCUUUUCCACCACCAACCUAUCCAUGAGUCAGUAGUAUGUCUCCACACCACUGUGUCCUGUCCGCCAUUAUGUAUGAUUAUUGGCGUGCUUGUAAUAAUUUGGUUGAGCGACCGCAGUUCAACCCUGUAAUAUAUUUUACGCUACUGCCUUAUUGUAUCAAGAAAUUGUCUACCAGUGAGGAGGAUUUCUCUCAUACUGGACUCAAAAGACUGGUUUAUCAAUAAAUAUUUUUAUUGGAAAACCGGUCGUGACAAGCUUGGUACCAGAGCCAGGCUGACUGUAGGAAGCCACUAGGUGCGAUCGCUAAUUAGUUAUUAGCAUGACAGGGCUAUUUUAUGCUUUUGCAAUUGUAGUCAUUUUCUGUCAGUCAGCAUAAAUUUAUUAUCUGACCCUGCAGAAUUUUGCCUACUUUUGUAGAUGGCCGACGUCAGCUGCGAAUCUCAGACCUUCGCCAACGUGCCCGAUGGGUUCGUCAAACUUCUUUCUUCCAUCGUUAGGGUCGCGAUGGGGCCAUCCGUGCGCCCAGUCUUCACACUCUACCAGCACCGAGUCAACGACAGUCUGACCAUGCACCAGGCCGCGGUGCAGUUCAGGGGAGGGCGUGGUGAGUCACGCCGCUUCCGGUUCGUGGGAAGAGCUAUGCCUACGGAGGGGCAUGCUAUGCAGAUGGCAGCCCGCGAGGCGAUAGCUCGUCUCAGGGAUGUCCUUCCCGUGAUGAAGACUCGUCAUUACCGUUAUCUUCCAUGCCAUGUGCCUUACACCUGUCACUACGCAUACUCCUGCCCCAGAGGAGAACGAGACGAGGCUUUUGAGAUGCUCAUUGAGUAUCUCCGGGCCCUGGAGGCAGCCUUCGACAACCUGGUGGACGACUUCGUAGCUACCCGCAUGGACUCAGUCCAUGGCUGUGCUGCCAACAGGAGGGAGCUCCUACCCAUCGCUCCGCCACCGACUUUUGUCUCGUCAUCAGCAUCUUUUACGCCUACUCGUCGCCUGCCUUCUACCGAAGAAUUUAACCAAGUCAUUGCACCCACUCCAGCGCGCACUACACCAACCUUCGCGCCCACUCCUGUACGUGUUGCUCCGCCCCUGGCAACCGCUCCGUCCGCUCUGCACAACACUACACGUAUGGAACCCAUUAGCGAGGAGGAAGUCGAGUCCCCAACCUCGCUACGCCUCUCCCUCGGCAGGGCAAGGGAGAUCGUCAACAUCUCUGCCUGAGUACGCUUAGCUGCCGUGUAUUGUACCGCUUUGUAGGAUAUGUAAUGAGCAGUCCUUCUCCGUGCGCAAUUCGAUUUGUUUUUCUUAAGUAAGCUUGGGUAUUUAAUAAUAUCUGCCAGCUUUAUGCAUUUAUGGUUUUAUUUUUGCGACUCUUUCCGCUUUUCUUAAGAGUUUUACAAAAAAAAUUCCCAGAGUGAAAAAUGUCUCGUCCUUGGACACGUUCCAUGCCAACUCCACCAGAGGAAAUUCAUGAUACUCAACCCAACAAUGAGUUCACUCAGGGACAGACAAGCCAACAAGGUAGUGAAUCGGCACUUUCACAAAUGUGCCGCCUUUAUGAACAGAGUCAGCAACAACAUCGCGAGAUGAUGAACCAAGUCAUCAACAUGGGGAAUCAUCAUGGACAGUAUCAGCAACAUUCCAAGUUAUCUGAGCUACAGAAGACACGUCCUCAAACAUUUUCUCACACUGACAAGCCUCUUGAAGCCGAGGACUGGCUUCGAGAUAUGGAGAGGAAAUUAAUUAUUGCAAAGUGUUCAGAUCUCGAGAAAGUACUAUAUGCUCCACACUAUCUCACAGGAGCAGCCGCAUCGUGGUGGGAGAAUUUUCUGCACAUGCAUCCCAACGAAAAUGACAUAACCUGGGAUGAUUUCAAGGAAGGUUUCCGUGGUGCACAUAUUCCUAAGAGUAUUAUGAAAAUCAAGAAGAGAGAAUUUGAUGACCUCAAACAAAGGAACAUGACAGUGUCAGAUUACAACAGUCAAUUUACCCUAUUAUCCCGCUACGCCAAUGAGGAGCGUAUGACUGAAAUCAAGAAGAUGGAGAAAUUCCUUGACGGUCUGGCGCCCGCGCUUAAAUGCCAACUGGUCGUGCACACUUUUCCUGAUUUUAAAACGCUGGUGGACAAGGCCAUUACUCUGGAAAAUGAGAGACGCAGUCUGGAAGAUAUCCGCAAGCGAAAAAGGGACCAGAUUAAUCACACUCGCAAUCACCGAAGCAAGAUAGAUUUUAAAAAGGGUGGGACACCCAAAUUCUCAUCCAAUGUCUCACGCCCAAUCAAGAAUUUUCAUGCAAGGGACAAGGAAUUCACCUAUCGCCCCGGCGUUACUUGUUACGCUUGUGGAGAAGAAGGGCAUUAUGCCAAACAGUGCCCCAAGCCAAGGAACUCAACCCCAAAGCCGAACAACGGCGGCAAUAAUUCAGCACCCAAACGAAACAAUUUCAAUCCCAACAAUAACCACAGGAAGGGUCAUCUGAACCACGUAACCAAAGAGGAGGCACAAAAUGCUCCGGAUAUCGUACUCGGUACGUUUCCUGUCAACACAAUACCUGCAAUGGUUUUGUUUGAUUCUGGAGCUUCUCACUCUUUCAUCUCGAAAAGUCUUGCUUUGCAAAAUAAUUUUUCGAUGCUUCCUUUGGAGAGAUCCAUAAUAAUCAAGUCCCCCGGGAUUCAGCAAGUUUCUCAGAAUUACUGUCAGAAUGUGGUCAUUGAGUUUGAAGGAUUGGAGUUUUACGCAAAUCUUAUUGUAUUGGAAAAUAAAGGACUGGAUGUCAUCCUAGGGAUGGAUUGGCUAACCACCAAUAAAGGUUUUAUCGACUGUUUCAACAGGACCGUGAUUCUCACACACCACCAAGGGAAGAAAAUAAGAGUAUCAGCCAAGGAAGGAAAAAGACCCCGGCAACCGAGAUUAAAUAAGGUGGACGUUUCUGAGCUAAAUAAGGUUCCAGUAGUGCGUGAAUUUCCAGAUGUAUUCCCUGAAGAGCUGCCAGGCAUGCCACCAGAUCGAGAAAUAGAAUUCUGCAUUGAGCUAGCACCAGGAACCACCCCCAUAUACAAGAAGCCAUACAGAAUGGCACCAUCCGAGUUGAUCGAAUUGAAGAAGCAAAUAAAGGAAUUACUGGAUAAAGGAUACAUUCGGGCCAGCUCCUCACCUUGGGGAUCACCAAUUUUAUUUGCCAAGAAGAAGGAUGGAACGCUGAGAUUGUGUAUCGACUAUCGAGCACUUAACAUGGUCACAGUCAAAAACAAAUACCCGAUGCCAAGGAUAAACGAUUUGUUUGAUCAACUUGCUCAGGCCAAGGUAUUCUCAAAAAUUGACUUAAGGUCGGGAUACCAUCAAUUGAAGGUACGAACGGAAGAUAUCCCCAAAACAGCCUUCACCUCCAGAUAUGGACUGUACGAGUUCACAGUAAUGCCAUUUGGAUUAACUAACGCCCCGGCAUAUUUUGUUCACCUCAUGAACAAAGUAUUUAUGAAGUUUAUGGACAAAUUCGUCGUAGUAUUCAUCGACGAUAUUCUGGUAUACUCCAAAACACCAGAAGAGCACGCAGAACAUCUCAGGAUUGUACUAGGAGAGCUAAGGAAACACCAAUUGUAUGCCAAGUUCAGCAAGUGCGAAUUUUGGCUAAGACAAGUAGGUUUCCUAGGCCACGUACUGACUCAAGACGGUAUAGCAGUGGACCCGGAGAAAGUCAAGGCCGUACUUGACUGGAAGUCACCAGCCAGCGUAACAGACAUACGAAGUUUCUUGGGAAUGGCAGGAUAUUACCGCAGAUUUAUUGAAGGAUUUUCCACCAUAUCCAAGCCUAUGACACAGUUACUCAAGAAGGAUAAGAAGUUUGAGUGGACAGAAGCCUGCGAGAAAAGUUUCCAAGAGCUAAAGCGGAAAUUAACAACAGCACCGGUAUUAAUUGUACCCGAUAUACACAAGAAUUUUGAAGUAUUUUGUGACGCAUCCAGAAAGGGUCUCGGAUGCGUGUUGAUGCAAGAAGGCAAGGUUGUCGCCUACGCUUCAAGGCAACUUCGCAAACACGAGGAAAAUUAUCCCACUCAUGAUUUAGAAAUGGCAGCAGUUAUUCAUGCACUCAAGGAAUGGAGGCAUUUUCUACUUGGAAAUCGAUGUGAGAUAUAUACGGAUCACAAAAGCCUCAAAUACAUUUUUACGCAGCCAGAACUAAAUUUACGGCAACGCCGCUGGUUAGAAUUGGUAAAGGAUUACGAUGUUGGUAUCCAUUACCAUCCAGGGAAAGCAAACGUAGUGGCCGAUGCCCUGAGUCGGAACCCCAGCUCCGACGGGAACUAUCUGCACAGCUUGAGGCCCGAAUUCCAUCAAGAAUUUGUCAAGCUCAACUUGAUAAUGGUAGCAGAAGGCACCAUAUCAAACUUGGAAAUACAACCACACCUUGUGGAGAAAAUUAAAGAGGCUCAGUCCGGUCACCCCAGCAUUGAAGGAAUUAAAAGGAAGUUGAGUAUGGGCAAGGCCUCGGAAUUCGUCAUAGACAGUGAAGGAAUAUUAUGGUACGGAGAAAGGCUAUGCGUGCCAAACAUACAAGACCUUAAACAGCAAGUUUUAACUGAAGCACACACCACUCCAUAUUCGAUCCACCCUGGAGGAACCAAAAUGUAUAAGGAUAUUCAGGAAAGAUUUUGGUGGCACGGUAUGAAGAGGGACAUAGCCGCUUUCAUUGCAUGUUGCGACUCAUGUCAACGCAUAAAAGCUGAACAUCAGAGACCAGCCGGACUACUGCAACCUAACAAAAUACCUGAGUGGAAAUGGGAUGAAAUAGGGAUGGAUUUUAUUGUCGGAUUACCUCGGUCACGACACGGGAAUGAUGCCAUAUGGGUCAUCACUGACAGGUUGACCAGAGUAGCACACUUUAUUCCAGUGAAGACAACCUACACCACUCAGAGGCUUGCCAGGAUUUAUCUUUCCCGCAUAGUCUGUCUGCACGGUGUCCCGAAGACUAUAAUUUCCGACAGAGGCACUCAGUUCGUCUCAAGAUUUUGGGAGCAAUUACAACAGGCUCUGGGAACCCAACUAGCCUUCAGUACCGCAUACCAUCCACAGACUGAUGGACAAACAGAACGCGUAAACCAAGUUUUAGAAGACAUGCUGAGAGCAUGUGUCCUCACCUAUGGAACCAGUUGGGAGGACAGCCUGCCAUAUGCCGAGUUCGCAUACAACAACAGUUACUAGGCCAUCCUGCAAAUGGCUCCUUUCGAAGCCCUAUACGGAAGGAGAUGUCGUACCCCGUUAAAUUGGUCAGAGACCGGAGACAGCCGCAUCUUCGGACCAGAUAUGCUCAGAGAAGCCGAGGAAAAAGUCAAGUUAAUCAGGGACCGACUUAAGACCGCUCAAAGUCGACAGAAAAGUUAUUAUGAUCAGAAACAUCGUAGGGUCAGCUUCGAACCCGGUGAAUUCGUAUACUUGAGAGUAUCCCUGAUGAGAGGAUUGCAACGGUUUAAGAUUAAAGGAAAAUUAGCACCAAGAUUCAUUGGACCAUUUUGCAUAGUGGCACGAAGAGGCACUGUAGCCUACCAGCUAGACUUACCCGAAGACUUGUCCGACAUUCACGACGUGUUCCACGUCUCUCAAUUAAGGAAGUGCGUAAGCAACCCAGAGAAACAAGUAUCUCAUGAGAACAUUGACGUACAGCCAGACCUCACUUAUCGAGAACGUCCCAUAAGAAUAUUAGAGGAGUCUGAAAGGAGGACCCGACAGAAAACCAUCAAGUUUUUCAAAGUCCAGUGGAGCAAUCACACCGACAGUGAAGCAACUUGGGAAAGCGAGGAUUUUCUUCGGACAGAGCAUCCACACUUAUUUAAGGAUCAGCUAAAAUCUCGGGGAUGAGAUUUUUCCUAAGGGGGUAGGUGUUGUGACACUCCAAAAUUUUUAUUUGGUUUUUAUCAAAAACUUUGUGGUUUUGAGGAGAGACUUUUUUUUUAUUUUUCUUUUUCAGAAAAACCUUCCUCUUAAAAACCUCCUUUUGCCUUGGCAGGGAUUUUAUUUCUUUCAAACUUUGGUGGUUGAUCUUUUGCAAACUUCUUCUCUGUUAGUUCCCUCUAAAAAUUUAAAUUUUUUUGGGAGCUUUUAAUUUGUUUUUUUUAAGUGAAGCUCUAUGAAAAUUUGGGUUUUUCUUAUCUUUGAAGCCACCCUUGGCUUUGUAUUUUUGCCCAUGAGAUAAAACCCCUCCAAAACCUCCCCUCCCCCUUGUGAUCAACCUAAAUUCUCUGUCCCAACUAAUCCAAACUGGUUUUGGAUUCUAUUCUAAUUAUUUUCCCCCCCAAUUCAAUUCUGAAAAUUAUUUGGAGCCUGAGGGAUUUUCAAAGCAAGUACACUUUUUCAUUUGAGUUUUGAACUCAAACCAAUUCUCCUGGAUUGUCCUUUGAACCCACAACCCAGAACCAUCUUGAUCCACUCCUCCUCUUUUCAAAUUUUUCAAAAUACAGUCUCUGCAAGUUUGGACCAGAUUUGCCAAAUUUGGUGAAAUUCAUAUCUACACUCCAAAAAUUCCACCAAAAUUCAGACAGCCUAUUUGAGCAAUGAGAAGCCACUCCACCAAAAAUCAGCUCAAGGAAAAAUCCCUACAUGCCUGGAUCAUUCUGUCGAACACCUUGCAUGCACUGUUUUCCUUGCACUUUCAGAAAUUUAGUUUUCAGUUUCGACAGUUUCAGUCACGCGGCCACAGUGCACUUGGCACGUUGCUCGCGGCCUCGCUUGCUUGUCCGAAGCUUCACACGCGCACUUGGCGCGACCCUGGCGUCGGUGGCGCCCUGGCCCGCCUGCGCCGGCGUGUCUUGCGGCGGCCGGCUCCCCGUAACGGCCGACAGGGAGGAGAAUGGCGGCGCAACGCCGUUCGGCACCGCCCAAAUCCUCUGGUGGCUCCGCGUGGCCUUCUCCGUGCCAGCGCACGCAUGCGGCAUCGUCGCCGUGGCGCAGCACGCACGGAGCGCGCUCUCUGCCGCCGACGGGCCCGCGCCACCCCGUUCCGUCGAGCUCGACCCAAACACCCAAACCCCGGCCAGUUUAGCACUAAAAUGGACCCAUUGAACCUCCGUGAUGACGCUCGACCCCCUAACCACCCCGACCGAGCACUGCGCCACCGUAAUCGCUCGCCGGUGAUCCUCGUUCACGGCAACCGCCUCGGACCGCCUAUAUAAAGGGGUCCCGAGCUCACUCUCGUGCACGCAGCACCCCCACUACUCACCAACACCCCGCCAGGCCACUAGGGGGACCUCGAGGAGGUCUCCUCCCCCAGCUCCGGCCGCCUCGCCCCGCCUCGGCCUCCAGCCCGAUUCGUUCUGGUGAGGCCAUCUCCGGCGCUCAAACCCCGUUCGUUACCCUCUCUAGCUGCCAGGAGCAUGACCCCCUCUUCAAUUGAACCUUUGCAGCCCUCUCCGACGAGCCCCUCAACCACCCGAGCCGCCGUCCGCCGGAGCAAAGCUCGCCGUCGACGUGGUGCUCACCGACCGACUCUACCACCAUCAACUGACGCGGAAGGGUGCCCUGAGCACGGAGGUACUCUCCGAUCUCUCUGCCUCGCCGUGGAUCGCCGCCGGCGACCACCGCGGCUCUCGGGCGCCGGCGAACUCUGCCGCCCCGUUUGAACAUUUGAACCUGACGGGUGGGACCCCACCGUCAGCCUCUCUGCUCUCUCUUUCGAAUCGUUUUCUGGAAGCGCCUUCGGGCAGAAUGCGUUUUCUCUUCGGGCUGGCGUAGUCGCUACCGAAGCGUUUUCUGUUUUUAUAAACUAGCCCCUGGAAAUCUUCUGUUUCAUUACAGAUAAGUCCCUGGACAAAAACCCUUAUAACUUUUAAUCAGAAAAGUAUUUUUGAUUGAUUCUUUUUCUGUUCUCUUUAAAAUUUUGUCUAAUUUUUUACCAGAUUUAUUUGAAAAAUAUUUGGUUUACCUUCUGUGCUCUCCUUGGUAUUUACUUUAGCGCAUAUAUUUUCUUUAAACCGUAGAUACCGAAGGAGGUGACGGAGCCGCGAACUUCACCGAGCUAGGCUCCGACUAUUUUGAACCAGGCAAGCAUGUUUGAACUUUUGAUAUGAUGAGUGUCUCGGCAUGUUUUGCAUUUAGUUAGUUUCAUGGCAUGUUGGUAAGCAUACCGAUGAACGAUAUUUUAUGUGAUAAUAAGGUGAGUAAGUUCAAUGAUCCAUACGUGGAUGAAUGUGAAUAUGAAUGGCCAUGUGUUGGCAUGAGGAUGGGUACGAUGGCAGUGUUGUAGCAUGCCAGUCUUACGCCAGACUAUGUGACUUCAGUGACAAACCAUAUCGGUCCAGUACCUAUCAUUUCCUUCCUUGUACUACCACAUGUUUUCCGCAAGGAAUAUGGUUUAGUAAGUUGCAAACCACUUUCAUGGUACACACCAAAGAGGAGAGGCCGUGAUGAUGGUUCCAUGGCCCUGGAUUAAAGCCAGUCAUCCGGUCAGGGGGCAUGGGUGUUUCCGGUUGGGACCGAGAGGGGGGCACCCCUUAGAGCGCGCGUAUAUAAAUUUGAUCCCAUGCUAUUCGAGAUUGUGAUCUCCCCGUCUCAAAAGUUUUUCUUGGACGAUGACUAGGGUGAUUCCUAGCAUCGAGAGGUAGGAUGGGUGUGUACCGGUUAGCUGUGUUUUCUUCCGAAAUACCAUAAACGGAACAAGUCCUUCGUGACUACGGAAAUCCGUUGACUGUGGGAAAAAUUUUGUACAAACUCUGCAGAGUCAUAUAUUCCUCCAAAUCAUCUCUUCCAUGUCAAGUUUCGUUCCAUCUUAUCCUAAUAAAUUGUCAGCUUUGAUGACAGAGACUCCGGUGGAUCGCAUGAGUGCUAAGUUCGAUUGAAUGAUUAUCCCUGUGGAUGGACUAACCCGUUUUUUCUCAUGGAUUGAAUGUUUAUUAUGAGUAUUGUUUACUGGUGAAUUUUAAAGCCCUUUCUGCGAUGUCGCUCAGACGUCCGACUGUGGCAUUUCAUUUAAAGCCCUUUCUGCGAUGUCGCUCAGACGUCCGACUGUGGCAUUUCUUUUAAAGCCCUUUCUGCGAUGUCGCUCAGACGUCCGACUGUGGCAUUUCUUUUAAAGCCCUUUCUGCGAUGUCGCUCAGACAUCCGACCGUGGCAUUUCUUUUAAAGCCCUUUAUGUGGUGUCGCUAAGAUGCCCGACUGUGGCAUCAUUCACCUUUCGAGGCGUCGCUUCAGACACCCGAUCGGUCUUUAUUUAUGCUCUGUGGGAUUUCAGGCGGACUACCGCCGUUUCCCUUUUUACUUACCCCGUUAUGCAAAUUUUUAUUUAUUGUGCAUUAAGGAAUUAAUCAUGUUGCAUCCAUGCACGCAUUUGUUAUAUCUUAUGUCCGAACUGUCUUGCGAGUACUUUCAAAGUACUCACUGGCUUGUUGAUUUGGCCAGAUGCUGACGAAGGCGAUCUCAUGGAUGAAGAGUUCGAUAGCGAGUCCGACACUUAGAGGAGUCCUAGUCAGUCUCGUGCGACCCUGGAUUUGGUCACUGUUUUAUAUCUGCUUCCGCUACCAAAUAAAUUUAUCGAGCCUCACCUCGAUGUUCGAUGAAAUGAUAUUCUUAGAGUCUUGUAUUUCCCUUCCCGCUGUGCUUUUCCACCACCAACCUAUCCAUGAGUCAGUAGUAUGUCUCCACACCACUGUGUCCUGUCCGCCAUUAUGUAUGAUUAUUGGCGUGCUUGUAAUAAUUUGGUUGAGCGACCGCUGUUCAACCCUGCAAUAUAUUUUACGCUACUGGCUUAUUGUAUCAAGAAAUUGUCUACCAGUGAGGAGGAUUUCUCUCAUACUGGACUCAAAAGACUGGUUUAUCAAUAAAUAUUUUUAUUGGAAAACCGGUCGUGACAAUAUAACACUUACUGCAAUGCAUAUAAACAUGCCAUGAACUAACUACUCAUUGCAAACAUGCAAAACACUCAUCAUAUCAAAGGUUCAAACAUGCUUGCCUGGUUCGAAGUAGUUGGAGUCUAGCUCGGUGAAGUUCGCGGUUCCGUCACCUCCUCCGGUAUCUACGGUAUAAAGAAAAUACGCACUAACGUAAAUACCGUGUGUGCACAAAACGUGUUCCAAAUAUUUUUCAAAUAAAUCAGAUAAAAAAACUAGACAGAAAAAUAAAGAUGACAGAAAAAGAAUCAAUCAAAAAUCAUUUUCAGUUUAGGAGUUAUUAAAGUUUUGGCCCAGGGACUUGUCUGUAAUGAAACAGAAAGUUUCCAGGGGCUAGCUUAUAAAAACAGAAAAUGAUUCGAUGAAAACCCGCCAACUCCAAAGGAAAAACGUAUCCUGCCCGAAGGCGUUUCCAGAAAACGGUUCGAAUAUAAAAGAGAGGCUGACGAGGGGGUCCCACUCGUCAAGUUUAAAAGUUCGAGAGAGAAAACAGAGUGCGUCGGUGCCCGAAGCUUGCGAUGGUCGCCGACGACGAUCCACGGUGAGUUAGGAGGAGCGGAGGGUACCUACGGACUCAGGGUGCUCUUCCGCGUCUGUGGGUGGCGGAGUUGGUCAUUGGAGAGCCCCACGUCGACGGCGGCCUUCACUCCAGCGGACGGCGACUCGGGCGUCGAUGGAUCUCGCCGGGAAGGGCUGCAAGUUUCAAAUUGGGGCGUGGGUUAGUGGAGUGGGUGCACUAGGAUGCCACUGGUACAACGUGAGAGGUGGGGGUGGACGCACUCGAGCUAACCUUGCCGGAGCCCGAAGCGGAUCGGGGCGGCCGGAGUCGGAGGAGAAGGCCCUUUACGUUGGCCUGUAGCUGAAGUAGUAUGCUGUAGGUAGACAUUCAUUGGGCUGGUCCAUUUACGUUGGCAUGCUUCGUGUGUGUCCAUUCUGUAUGCUUCUUUUUUAAUCCCAUGUAGGUUUAUUUACUCUUUUAGGUUCCUACUUUAGUGACCAUGGAUCUUUAGGUUUUUUCAAUUUAAUGGAAUUGGGUCCUACAUGAUUUUUUGCCUAUUUUAAUGUAUGUAUUUGCCUAACAUAGUUUACAAAAUCUUUAGUUAGAGGUAACCCAUCUUUGGUUACAUAUCUCACAAUCAGAUAAGAACAUUGUGCCAGAUCAGCUAACUUUCAGAUGUUGCCUGUAACCAAAGAUUGGUUACCUCUAGAUGGAUAGAUUCAUUUGAUUGGGUGACCUGAAUUUAUGAUGCCCUUUUUAUACUACAGAAGAUGCACCAGGCAUCUAUUUUUUGUCAUGAAAAAUGCAUAGGACCAUUUGCCUUGUAUUGUUACCCACUUUGGAAGAGUAACCUAUUGUUGUGUGUCGAGUGAUGGCGAUGAAUCAGCUAACUUCUGUAAAGUACAUACAAAGAUGUACUAUAUAUGUGCAAAGUAUCGAUUCAGUACACCGAACCCAAAUGCCAAGCAAGCACAAAGAUGUCAAAAGCAGUUAAAAUAAUCGUAAACAAUCUGGAAACAUAUAGCUUUGAAUAGACAUUUAUUAUUUUUUUGAAGAGUUCAGUCCAUGCAUGUUUUUUGCCAUCUAAUUUUAUGUUCUGGGCUUAAAUCAGAUAGAGGCUUUAAGAAUAUCCAGUUUAAAUAAUGACAGUCUUAAUUUGGAUAAAUAAAAUAACAAGAGCUUCAGACUAAUGUGGAAAAAUUGGUCAAAAUAUAAAAUUUUGGUUCCUCUCAGUUUAGUUGGUGGCCUAUAUGAAUUCCAUUUGGCCCACAAUAUUUUUGUACAGUUAUUGAUUUGCUAGGGUAAAUUCUAAACUUAAUUUUGUUAGCUUCUAUCAGGUGUUCUUUCUUAUAAUAUUUUUUAUAUGUCGCAAGCUUACUCUCUUGAUGAGAGUUACUCCAUGUUUAUGAAGAAAAGAUUUGGGUUCAGAGCACCUUCGGUCAUAAGAAUUUGUUUUCUAAUUCUUGCUGGUCAGUCACAAAGCAUUAAUUUUUGUUUGCUUUACAAUUUUUUCAGGAGCAAUGGGAAAUGAUGAGCUCCUGCUUCUUUUUAUGUCGGUUUAGGAGUGUAGGAAGCGGUUCCUCGCCGGUUGGACGUUGUUCAACCGCAACUCUGGCACCCACUGAGUACUUCCUCGGCUACAACCUCCUUCGGUGAGCUGUAUCUUCCUCCUUCUCCUCUGCUUCAGCUACUGUAUGGGACAUAGCCAGGGCUAUGAUGAUCGGUUAUGGCCGAUAUAAGCAUGCUCUCGAGCAAUCGAGGCAUGUGUGGGUAUUAAGUUGGAUCCCCCUUUGUUUCUUUGAGCCGUUUCGAUCAUGUUCUUAUUUUAGUGGCUCUGUCCUUGGAUGGUCAUUUCUGAUGAGUGAUAACCAGGGCAGUUUCACCCUUUUAAGAACAUAUCCAUCGUGAAAUAAGUCACUAAGCAUUAAUUUUUGUUUGCUUUACAAUUUUUCCAGAAGCAAUGGGAAAUGAUGAGCUCCUGCUUCUUUUUAUGUCGGUUUAGGAGUGUAGGAAGCGGUUCCUCGCCGGUUGGACGUCAUUCAACCGCAACUCUGGCACCCACUGAGAACUUCCUCGGCUACAACCUCCUUCGGUGAGCUGCAUCUUCCUCCUGCUCCUCUCCAUCGGCUACUGUAUGGGACAUAGCCAGGGCUAUGAUGAUCGGUUAUGGCUGAUAUAAGCAUGCUCUCGAGCAAUCAAGGCACGUGUGGGUAUUAAGUUGGAUCCCCCUUCGUUUCUUUGAGCCAUUUUGAUCAUGUUCUUAUUUUAGUGGCUCUGUCCUUGGAUGGUCAUUUCUGAUGAGUGAUAACCAGGGCAGUUUCACCCUUGUAAGAACAUAUCCAUCGAGAAAUAAGGGAGACGGUCACUCCCGGGCGCUCUCAGCGAUUCGGCAUUCCUGGCCGUUGGAUCUUUUGCUUGAUGUGAUUUCGGCCGUCAGAUCUCGCCUCAGGAUGACACAGCCGUCGGAUCGACCCGGUGUACCUGUAGCAAUGAAUAGUUAAUGCCUCCACACGCUGCCGCUUACUUCGCCUAUUCGACCUAGACUCGCUGACCUGUGGGGCUGCUCGCGGGUGGGCCGCGUCCGUCAACGACCAUGUGAGCGGGCAUGGCAUGUGCGUCCAGUCACGUGCCCCACCGGCCGGAGGCCAUUCUUGCUAGGGCAAUGAUGAUUAACCAUGGCUGAAAUAAAUGUGCCUUUGAGCAAUCGAGACACCUGUGGGUAUCAAGUUGGAUCCUCCCUCUUGUCUCUAGAAUCCUUUUUGAUCUUGUGAUACUUAUUGUUCUGUCCUUGGAUGGUCAUUCUUGUUGAGUGAUAACCAGGGCAGCUCCACACUAAAAACAGAUUGAUCCGGUGAUAAGAGAUGACGGGGGUGGGUCACAUGAUCGAGAAAAGGUGAAUCUGAGCCCAUCAUGCAUUGAACCCCGAAUCCUUUUUAUUUGUAGUUAAAGGUGUAGCUUAUUUGUGCCCCCAUCGGUCGGAAGCCAUUCUUGCUAGGGCGAUGAUGAUUAGCCGUGGCUGAAAUAAGUGUGCCUUUGAGCAAUCGAGGCACCUGUGGGUAUCAAGUUGGAUCCUCCCUCUUGUCUCUAGAAUCCUUUUUGAUCCUGUGAUACUUAUUGUUCUGUCCUUGGAUGGUCGUUCUUGUUGAAUGAUAACCAGGGCAGCUCCACUGGAUAAACAGAUUGAUCUGGUGAAAGAGAUGAUGGGGGUAGAUUAUAUGAUCGAGGAAAGGCGAAUCUGGGCCCACUAUGCAUUGAACCCUGAACCCUUUUUAUUUGUAUUUAGAGGUGUUGCUUAUUUAUGCUCCAGUGUUUAUAGCCGUCUUAUGUAAAGAAAUCUCCCUUGUAUUUCCUCUUAUGGACGGCCCCCUCGCUAGCUCCUUGAUGUUUGUCCUACCCCAGUAAGAUCUAUGACAUGUUCAUGGCGUUGAUGUGGAGAAGCUCAACGACAAUGGAAUAUCCCUCUCCAUUUUGACAUCAGACAAGGUGGUAUUAAUCUUUUAUGUGUAAGUAUCUACUGCACAUACUGUCUUUCCUAGGCGUUCUUCUUUUCCAUCUGUACUACCUCACCUACUGUCAAAUGUUUGUGCUGGGUUGCUGACUUUUUUGCUGUGGAGUUUGCUUAUUUUGGGUUCUUCAUUGUGUUGGUAGGAUGUUUGCCGUGAGUUGUUCCUUUGGCACUAUCUGUAGGAAGCAGAGCCAAGCGAGGUUCUUAUAUCUGAGCAUAUUAAUCUCAUGCAUUAGUUUGUAAGCUAUGGGGUUGCAGGCUUAAACUCAAAAUUGUCUUGCAAUGUAUUAGAUUGUACCCUGGAACCUAGGCACAACCAUCUAUAUACAUUGUUCUAUCUUGUAGAUUGGGAUCCCCGUCAGUUGCUUCCCCUUUUUUGUUUCCAGUUAUGUCAUCUUUGCAAAUUUAUGUUGUGCAUGUACACACGUUUUUUGGACAACUGCAUGAGAGAAAGCUUACAAGUAGAUGAGUUACAGAUCUUCCAUGAAUCCUAUUGUCCUUGCAGACCUACAACAACAAACUUUCGAUUACGUAUAUGCUUAUUGUUUGUUCAGUUGGCAUACUUCAGAUUGCAUUGGUUAGGUUAUAGUCCAUGUGUGUAGGUCUGGAUAGCAUAGGCUUCUGUUGAGAGCACUUUGAUCAGGUGGCACUGCACACCUCAAAUCACCACAAGUUUGUUCUUCACCUAUACAGUACAGUCACAGUCACCCGCCCAGAACUUGAAAUUGGAACCAGAGAGCAGUAAUUUCUUAGGGAGCUAGCUCAAUGUUGUAUAAAAGGAGAUUUAUGAGAUUUUAGUCUUGAAAAUUUUAUGGUAUUUUGUCUUCCAGGUUCCUCUAUAUCUGCUGCAAGGCUUGGAUUACCAUAUAAGGCCGAAUUCAGCACAUAAGAAAGCAGAACAAAUCAUUGAUAGUGUCACGGUUUGAUCCAGCUCGAUGGCGAGCUCCUCUGCCCUCCCUAAGCCCGGUGAUGAUUUGUACGGUCAGUCUUCCCUGCACGGUGGUGGGCGAAGGAGGUGUACGUCUCUGCAAGUUUGUUGUGCCUCCCUCAGGUUCCGUGAUGGCCGACGGCGAGGUGCCCACCGGUGAGCUUUUUUUCCUUGGUUGCCUUUCUAUUAUUGUGAUUCGGUUUGUGAUGCUCUGCUGCUCAUCUAGGUUGAUGGUGGAGCUGCGAUCCAAAGUUGGAGCGUGCCCUUUCGUUGGUGCCGUCAUUCUCUCCUCCACGACCGUCGUUGUUACGAGCCUAAGUAGCUUGGUUGGGUAUCGACGGCGUUGGUGGACCUAAUAGGUCCGUCUCUUUCUCUAAAAAGAAAAGCACAACGAGUUAUCUAUAUUUUGUCUGUAUGUGGUUCUAUACUUUUUUCUGCUAAUUUCUAAGUGAUUUUUAACCCAUUGUGAUACUAAAAACCUGAUAAAGAAUAUAUUUUAUGACUGAAUGUUUGAUGUGGGGCUGGAAGAAUUAUAGUUUUGUUUUGUACAUAAAUCUUCUAUGUAGUCAUGGUACUAAAUGUCCUAACAUAUACCCGUAUGUUCUGUUUAUCUCCUACAAAUAGUGAAAUGGUCUAUAUGUAAAGUGUUUAUGUUUAGUUAUAUUAUGUUGUCGACGAUGCGUGGUUCUGGAACAUGGAGAUUAACAUUGAAGCUUUUGGUAUCUUGAAUUCUUAUGCUUUGUUAUUAACUUGAUGUGAUCCAGUUUUUUCUACUUGGCAUUGCCACUGACUUGCUUUCAGUGUCGUAUAACUAAACUCUUUUGGCUGAACUGGACGCAGAUUAAUUGUCCUGCCUUGCUUUUGGAACAAAUUAAAUGUAUCUUCUUUUUCAUGAGCCUGCAGAUCAAUUAUUCUAUAGAUACUAAUACACUCAUUAGUUUCAAACAAGUACUGUAAUUUCUGAUGUACCAAAUGAUUUACGGUAUAGUGAAAUCUUACACGCUGGACCAAUUCAAUGUUUCUUCUUUCUCUUAAACCAGAAAAAAUUGUUGUCUUGUUGAAUACGUAUGCUAAACCAUGUUUCCUACUAACGCAUCAUAUCUUUUGAUCAUUACCUUCUUGACCACAUCGUUGGGACAUGCACAGGUUCAUGUGAAGUGGUGCCUAUGAAGAUCAUCGACAAGGCAGUUGAGUGGAGUCACUUAUUAGUAUGAAGUGGCGCUUAUGAAGUUGAUCGACAAGGCAGUUGAGUGAAGCCACUUAUUAGUAUGCUUAGUAG
rnacentral:lncRNA from 1 species